rnacentral:rRNA from 1 species
CCUACGGGAGGCAGCAGUGGGGGAUAUUGCACAAUGGGGGAAACCCUGAUGCAGCGACGCCGCGUGGGCGAAGAAGUAUUUCGGUAUGUAAAGCCCUAUCAGCAGGGAAGAAGAAAUGACGGUACCUGAGUAAGAAGCACCGGCUAAAUACGUGCCAGCAGCCGCGGUAAUACGUAUGGUGCAAGCGUUAUCCGGAUUUAUUGGGUUUAAAGGGUGCGCAGGCGGGCCUUUAAGCCGGCGGUGAAAUCGCGGGGCUCAACCCCGCCGAGCCGUCGGAACUGGGGGCCUUGAGUGCGGCGGAGGCAUGCGGAAUGCGCGGUGUAGCGGUGAAAUGCAUAGAUAUCGCGCAGAACCCCGAUUGCGAAGGCAGCGUGCCGUGCCGCCACUGACGCUGAGGCACGAAAGCGCGGGGAUCGAACAGGAUUAGAUACCCCUGUAGUC